UUAACACAUGCAAGUCGAACGAUGAAGCCUGGCUUGCUGGGUGGAUUAGUGGCGAACGGGUGAGUAACACGUGAGUAACCUGCCCUUGACUCUGGGAUAAGCGCUGGAAACGGCGUCUAAUACCGGAUACGACCUGCCCCGGCAUCGGGUGUGGGUGGAAAGUUUUUCGGUCAAGGAUGGACUCGCGGCCUAUCAGCUUGUUGGUGAGGUAAUGGCUUACCAAGGCGACGACGGGUAGCCGGCCUGAGAGGGUGACCGGCCACACUGGGACUGAGACACGGCCCAGACUCCUACGGGAGGCAGCAGUGGGGAAUAUUGCACAAUGGGCGAAAGCCUGAUGCAGCAACGCCGCGUGGGGGAUGACGGCCUUCGGGUUGUAAACCUCUUUUAGUAGGGAAGAAGGGCUUCGGCUUGACGGUACCUGCAGAAAAAGCACCGGCUAACUACGUGCCAGCAGCCGCGGUAAUACGUAGGGUGCAAGCGUUGUCCGGAAUUAUUGGGCGUAAAGAGCUCGUAGGCGGUUUGUCGCGUCUGCUGUGAAAACCCGAGGCUCAACCUCGGGCCUGCAGUGGGUACGGGCAGACUAGAGUGCGGUAGGGGAGAAUGGAAUUCCUGGUGUAGCGGUGGAAUGCGCAGAUAUCAGGAGGAACACCGAUGGCGAAGGCAGUUCUCUGGGCCGUUACUGACGCUGAGGAGCGAAAGCGUGGGGAGCGAACAGGAUUAGAUACCCUGGUAGUCCACGCCGUAAACGUUGGGAACUAGAUGUGGGGGCCUUUCCACGGUCUCCGUGUCGCAGCUAACGCAUUAAGUUCCCCGCCUGGGGAGUACGGCCGCAAGGCUAAAACUCAAAGGAAUUGACGGGGGCCCGCACAAGCGGCGGAGCAUGCGGAUUAAUUCGAUGCAACGCGAAGAACCUUACCAAGGCUUGACAUAUACCGGAAACUUCCAGAGAUGGUUGCCCCGCAAGGUCGGUAUACAGGUGGUGCAUGGUUGUCGUCAGCUCGUGUCGUGAGAUGUUGGGUUAAGUCCCGCAACGAGCGCAACCCUCGUUCUAUGUUGCCAGCACGUGAUGGUGGGAACUCAUAGGAGACUGCCGGGGUCAACUCGGAGGAAGGUGGGGAUGACGUCAAAUCAUCAUGCCCCUUAUGUCUUGGGCUUCACGCAUGCUACAAUGGCCGGUACAAAGGGCUGCGAUACCGUAAGGUGGAGCGAAUCCCAAAAAGCCGGUCUCAGUUCGGAUUGAGGUCUGCAACUCGACCUCAUGAAGUCGGAGUCGCUAGUAAUCGCAGAUCAGCAACGCUGCGGUGAAUACGUUCCCGGGCCUUGUACACACCGCCCGUCAAGUCAUGAAAGUCGGUAACACCCGAAGCCAGUGGCCUAACCGUAAGGAGGGAGCUGUCGAAGGUGG
rnacentral:rRNA from 1 species